GGACCACCUUCCUGGAAGGUUAAGGCCAUACGGACAGCCGGGUCCACUGCCGA
rnacentral:sRNA from 12 species